rnacentral:rRNA from 1 species
UACAUGCAAGUCGAACGGUAACGGCAGGAAGCUUGCUCCUGGCUGACGAGUGGCGGACGGGUGAGUAAUACCUGGGGAGCUGCCUGAAUGAGGGGGACAACACCUGGAAACGGGUGCUAAUACCGCGUAAGCCCUGAGGGGGAAAGGCCGGGCAACCGGUCGCAUUCAGAUGCGCCCAGGUGGGAUUAGCUAGUUGGUGGGGUAACGGCCUACCAAGGCGACGAUCUCUAGCUGGUCUGAGAGGAUGAUCAGCCACACUGGAACUGAGACACGGUCCAGACUCCUACGGGAGGCAGCAGUAGGGAAUAUUGCACAAUGGGGGGAACCCUGAUGCAGCCAUGCCGCGUGUGUGAAGAAGGCCCUUUGGGUUGUAAAGCACUUUCAGUAUGGAGGAAGUGAGCUGAGUUAAUAGCUUAGUUCAUUGACGUUACAUACAGAAGAAGCACCGGCUAACUCCGUGCCAGCCGCCGC